CUGUGCCUGUCAGAGGCACAUCCUCCUGGAGAGAGCAAGGACCAUAGGAUGAUACAUGUUGAGCUGAAAGAAACCUUAGACCAUCUAGUCCAACCCCCUCACAUUAAAGGGAGGAAGAAAUUGAUCCUUCAAAGUGGGAAUUAUUAUGAUCACACUAAAAGAAGCAGAACGGCUGAGCCACAAGAACAGAGAAGUGGCAGUGGCCACCACCAAGGGCACUUGCCUUGAUGUCCUCGUGAGUCUAUAGGAGCAACAGCAUAUAAAGGCCACGAGAGCCUGGGCUGGUCUUCUCCAAACUGGUUCAUAGAUCCUGGCUAUGGACAUGAGUGCAUUAACAGGAGAAGAAUUAGGCAAGCAUGGUGAGACAUCUUUGUGGAAAGGCAGACUGUCCUGGGAGCUCUCACAUCAGAAAGGACCAAUGGAAUGAUGGGAUGAUGCCUCUCAACUUCUGCAGGAAUGGGAUUUAAGUGAGGCAGAGUUGUCCACAGUCAUCAGCCUUACUCUGUCUUCCAGAAACAUUGAAAUGCCAGGGCAAGACAAAAGUCGGGUUGCCUGGUGAUGGCCACGGAUGGGAUCAAUGACCUUGACUUCUGUGUCUGACCAAGCUCUAAGUGCUCCACAGUGCCUGUUUCAGCUGCCAUGGCUGUUGGAACAAAUUGCACAGCAAAUUCCACAGCAGAAUAAUUGUUUGGGCAAGUGUUAGAAUGGAAUAAGGAGGAGACUAGAUGGAGAUUAGACAAGUAGGCAAAUGUGAAUGAGAUGAGAAGACUGAAAACAGGCCAUGUGGUACUGCUUGAAGAACUUCGAGUUGGUUAUCCUAGAGGAGAGAACAUUAUGGUGUGGGAACAUCUUUGAGAAUCUAAGGGGCUCUCUUGGUGAAGAGGCAUCAGACCACUCUUGUUUGGCCCCAGAGGGAGGAGUAGGGGGAUAGAGAAGGAGAAAGCUGCCAAGAAAUUUGAUGUAAAGAAACACUUCUUACAAGAGCAAGUGAAAAAGGGAAGGGGCUGCCUCUUGUGGUGUGAUGAGCUCUGUGUCACUGGAGGGAGUCAUCUGAAGGCUGGAUGAUGACUUUGUUGUGGUGUACCUGGUCAGGCCCAAGCUGGUUGAGAUGACUUUUGACAUCCUAUUGUAAACCUCAAAUUUCCUUAGACUUAUAAAUGUUGGAAAUUUCACCAUUGGGAUAUUUCAUACUUGAAAAAUUUCUUACUGAUAGUCUAUUGGAAUGGGAACCCCAUUGGCAUGGGAGGUUCUUUCUCUUCCCUUCUUAAGAUUACUUUAGGACAAAAACCCUUUGCUGAACAAUGGAAAGGACUUUGACCUAUGCUUAAGCAUAGAACAGGAAUUUCUUUGAGUCUUGAUUGAUUUUAGAAUUGAUACAAUGGAGAUACUCCACCCUAUUCAGUCCUAAUAGGAUUGAGUAAGGGCUGCAGCCUAGAUCAAAAUUUAAUUAUUCCAAUCUCUACCCUACUCAAGUUAACAGGAUUUAGAAAGGGCUGUAGCAAAGGAGUAAAGAUUUAAUCAUUUGAGAAAUAUGACCUUCAACAGACAUGUGCAAAAGCCAGAAACCUCUGGGUGGUCCUGGGUUAAGCGAGAGCCUCCAUUGACAGGGAAAUUGAUGAAGAGUGAUUGGUAGAUGUGAGGACUGAGGGGAGGCAACUUGGAUGGUUUCCUUAAAGAUAGGAGGGUCUGGAGACUGGAGGAGGUGGUUGAGGUUUGGUCAGUGUGGUUCCUGGGCUCUGAGAGGGCUUGCUCUGAAGGAAGCUGAAGGUGGGGGCCCCUGAGACUGUUUCUCCAUUUUGGACAUGUGAGUAAUAGGGACUGGUCUCUUUUCUUUGCUCCAGCUAUCUAAGGGCUUGGGCCUUUUGGCCCAGCCUAAACAGAAGGGGUAUUUAAGCCCUAUUCCCUUCUCUCCCCUUUCUCUCUCUCUCUCUAUCUCUAAUUCCUUUCUUACUCCUAUUGUAAUUAAACUCCAAAAAAGGCUGA